CACGUAGGGGCCAAGCGUUGUCCGGAUUUAUUGGGCGUAAAGAGCUCGUAGGCGGUUCGGUAAGUCGGGUGUGAAACCUCCAGGCUCAACCUGGAGACGCCACCCGAUACUGCUGUGACUGGAGUCCGGUAGGGGAGCGUGGAAUUCCUGGUGUAGCGGUGAAAUGCGCAGAUAUCAGGAGGAACACCAGCGGCGAAGGCGGCGCUCUGGGCCGGUACUGACGCUGAGAAGCGAAAGCAUGGGGAGCGAACAGG
rnacentral:rRNA from 1 species